CGUACAACCAAAGGGAGAAAUCCCUAAUUUCCUCUUCUCAUCUUCUUCUAGCAGCAGCGCCCUGACCAAAGGGGUUGCCAAUGGCCGAAGCCCAGCUGACCGAAAACGUCUCGACGAUGGCACAUUUCUAAGGUCGUGUCCCGUUUUCGAAGUCUCUUGCUGGUUUGCUGUGGUUCUCUUCACCUUUAAUCCAUUUCCUUUUCUUCUUCAGCUAUGGCGAUAGAUUUUAGACCAUCAUCUCAGUUUCAUCAUGGAUGGUUUGUGAGACUGGAGGAUUUCAAAAGGAGAAGGACCUCUCAAAAAUGGAAGGAGUAUUUUCGGAUGAACUUUCAAUACUUUUUUGUUUUCGGUGAUGUUGGAAACAGGGAGAGACCUAUAAGGUUUAGAUUUGAUUGGGUUUUUAUGGCUGAUGAGUUGCUGGAGAUUACUCUCCCUUUUGUGAUUUUUUUGCACUGUUGGUUUAUAAGGAAAUGGGGAAAUGUAUGCAUUGUAUAUGUCGCUUUCUGAUUGCAUAGUACUACUUAUAUGCGUGUGAUGUUUGGCAAAUAAUUAUUCUCUUUGUAUAUGUGUGUUGUAGAUGCAUUCUGAUGGAAUUGUGUCUAUGUGUCAUGUGUGUGUUUCGGUAGGGUAUGUGUGUGUUUAGGUAGGAUAUGCAUGUGUACCAUCUGUGAUAGCUUUUUCGGCUCCCUUUUCUGAUGGUUAUGUGGUACUGAGUAUGGUUGAUUGUGUACAUUGCUCUCUCGUGUGUGUCGUGUGAUAACUCUCUCCUAUUUUGUUGUGUUGUAUGUGAGCGAUGUGUCUUUUUUCUCUGCUAACUUUUUCUGUGUGAAUCCCCCUUAGAAUCCAGUGGGUUUUUGGAAAGUCAUACGUAUUUCUUGGGGUUUGGAGAAGGGGAGGACCCUUCUAUCAUUGGUUUUCAACAUUGCACCCACAACCUAUUUUAUUAUUGUGUGAGAAGCUAAUGAAAAUUCUUUGAUGGGUAGUAUAUGAUUUUAGAGGUUUUCUCACAACAAGUUGAGGAGGAAGGUGCUGUGAUUUGAGAGAUAAAGGUAAUAUUGUGUGAUUUGGUUUGGGUAUUUUUUUGGUGGUGAUGGUCUCAAAACAUUAUGUAUGUAUUAUUGAGAAGAUGAAGAUAAAUGGGAGCAAGGCCUGUUGAUGGGUUUGUGUGGGAAUAAACCAACGUGAAUAAUAGGGGUUAGAAGAAUGGCGUAUAUGAAGUCAGUGAGUUGGGAUUUUUAACUUUUUUGAGAUUAAACAUGUAGCUGUUAGGAAAAUGGAACGUGAACAACCAUAAGGAAUAGCAAAAAAUAAUCCAUAAAAGGAGAAACCGAUGAGAAAAGAAGAUGAAUGGCUAAUGCCUUUUGCUUUUUUAGAAACAUCCCUUUUAAACAAUUCAACAUCAUUCAGUAAAAAUAAACCUCUUUCUCCCUUUCAUAUUCUUUGUGACAUUUUCUUUAAAAUCUCCUUAACAUAAAUAUUUUAUAUUAAGAAACGAACAGUUAACAUGGACAAUGUUUGGGUGUGGAACAUAAAUAAAAUGCACUUUUCAAUUUGGCUAUUUAUUAUUUUUUCUUGAAUUUUUUAUAUUUUUGUGUUUAGGUCGGACAAAAUUGAGUGUUCACAUAUAGCAAUUCUUUGCAGUAUUUUGAUUGGUGAACAAAUAUGCCACUAUCCAUUUGCUUGAUUUGUAAUCCCCGGAAGAAGGUAAGCUCUCCCAUCAUUGACAUUUCAAAUUCACCCUACAUUAGAUCAGAAAACUUCUUCCAAAGGAGGUCAUUAGUAGCUCCAAAGAUAAUAUCAUCAACAUAUAUUUGAACUAAUAAAACAUGAUUAUCUCAUUUUUGGAUAUAGAACGUUGUGUCGACUUUGCCCCUCACGAACCCCUUUUCUAAGAGAAAAGUGCUCAGUCUAUCAUACCAAGCUCGAGGAGCUUGCUUUAGGCCACACAAUGCCUUUUUAAGCUUAUAGACAUGGUUCAACAAUUUAUAAUUUUCAAAGCCGGGCAUUUGCUCAACAUAAAUCUCCUCUUGAAUAAAUCCAUUCAAGAAGGCGCAAUUAACAUCCAUUUGGAACAACUUAAAAUUCAUAAUUGAUACAAAUUCCAAUAGCAUCCUUAUGGCCUCUAACCUCGUAACAUGGGUGUGAUAAGUGCCAUAAAUACCUAAAUUUCAUACACUUUAUGGCACUUAUCCUUGGCAAAAUUGAGGAAACCAACUUAAUUCAACACCUUUUGGAUAAAAUAUCAUAAUCUUGUAUAUAUGCUUUGUGUAUUUCGUUUUUAUUUUAUUUUGUAGGAUUUAGGUGGAAAAGAGAAGAAAUAAUUAAGUGUAAGCAAAAUGCUCAAAAUAGGCCAAAAUGAUCCACACAUGACAUGCUUAAGCUUGACAUGACAAACUAUGUGCUUAGCCUUAAGCAUGACUCAACAAAAUUUGGCCUAUGUGGAAAGAUAGAGUCAACAUGAAGCUGCUCACUAAGCAGCUUAGCUUGGACCAAACCCUCGCCUGGCUGACUUGGACACGAACCUGGCACAGUGAGACUCAACCUGGAACGGUCGGAACACAAGCGUGGCACAAGCUAACUUGCUCCAGUAGACAGCUUAGCGGAGCACCUUGACAGCCCAACUUGGAAACACACACCUAGCCAGAUCAGCAAGCACCAAGCCACAUCACCAUCAGCAUGAUCAAAACUCCUUAAGCAGGCAGCUCAGCGGUACCACAUAGAAGGUUGACAGUGUGCACUCAACAAGUUGGUCAAGUUGACUUAGCCACCAAUCAACCAUGACAUCAUGCAUGACCUCGCUCCAAGUAGCCUCCAUAGGCUUUUAAGAGGUAGUUCACAAUAGCUGGGCAAGUAGCUCACAAUAGCUUGGGUGACUCAGCCCUAAGCAGGCGACUAAGCUGCUUGGUCAAGUGACCAAACCCAUGCUGAAGGGUUUGGUCAGCAGAUUGGCAGUGGAAUUGAGCAACUUAACGGUGGAAGAAAAAUCCUAUAAAUAGGAGGCACUUCAAGUCAUUCAAGGAGAAUUCCAUUCCAUUCCAUUUUUACACAUACAUUCUCACAUCCGAAAAUCUCUUUUAUUCUACACUUUCUUCUUUGUAAUUUCUUGCAGAAUUUCUACUCCAAAGUAGUUUAGGUAAGUUUAUUUUUUAGUUUCUCCUUAAUUUAAGAGGAGAAAGGAGAUGGAAAAUGUGAUAUGAAAACAUAAUUUUUUAAUCUCAUUUUGGUCUAAAAGCAUCUUAUCCUUGGAUAGAUGGCUCAUGCUCCUACAUAUUGAUUUGGAUUAUGGUGUAAUGUUAUUUCUUCUCUUUAGUUGUAUCAUCUUUUGAAUUCAAUUCAUUCAAGUUAAUACUUUUGGUUAAGUUUUGAUUCUUUAUGACGUUCUUAUUGCGGUUUUAGCUUGAUCACCUAAAACUUGAUUUAAAGAUAAAAAAAUGCUUCUUCUCAAAGAGUUGACAAGUGAACUAGAAAGUAUAACCUACACCUUAGUUCACUUGCCACAUCAAGCAUCUAUUUUAAGCAACUUAUAUUCACGGCUAAAUAAAGUUAAUGGAGCCUGAAGUAAUGUGUGUUAACCUACUCCGUCGAGUGGCACUUAACUCUUAUUUGGUGCAUUACAAAGUUUGAAAAUUAUCUUAUCAUUCUAGGACACUAGAUGAAGGAUGUAGAAAUGGUGUGUGGAAUCAACCGAAAGUAUAACACAUAACUUGGAAUGUUUUCAAAAUCAAUUGAGUAUAGAAAUAAUUCCAUAUUCCAAACCAAUUUUCUCCUCAAGAAAUUGUGCAUAUUAGUUGUUUAUGUUUAUUUGUUUACUUUCUAAAAUUUCAUAAACAAAAUCAGUCAAAAACAUAUUCAAUCUUUAUUAGUAAUAUAACAUGUUUAUAAUAAUGUUCUAUUAGGCAAUUCUUUGUGGUUCGACAUAACCCUAUUACUAUACUACAAUUGAAUGUUGAAAGAGAUGCAAAUGUAAAAUAAUAGAGGAUUAACUUAUAAAUUUUAUUUGUUGACAAAGAAAUAAACCUUGAAUCAAAGUGCAGUUUAUUUCAUAAAUUUUAUCUUUGUGAAAAGGAAAAAUACACAGUCAUAAUGAUUGAUCUAACUACUAACUUUUAAUUUUCAGUCAUUUACUUUCCGCAACUAACAUUUAUUUUCUGUAAUUUAAACUCUGCAAGUAACAUUUAUUUAUUACUUUAUUUAUUCAUUACCAACCUUCCAUAAGGAAGUAGUUCGAUUAAUAAAGGAAAACGAAAAUAAAUAUCACUCAUUAUCACUUGUGUUAAUUUGCUAAAUUCAUACCAUUAUACUGGCGUUCGAAUUAAUCCAACAAAGCCGAGAGAUUAUAUGAAAUUUUUAAUAAUUCAACAAAGCUAAGUUUUUGAUUAAAGGAACAUUCUUAAAAUCAUUAUACCGGUGUUGGAAUUUAUUUCAACAAAGCCGAUAUGCUGAGCAAAGAAUCGACCUGUUAUUAAUUAAAUCAAUCAGAAACUUGCCUCAAUAAGUAGCAAGAAAACUCUUUCAACAAAUUAGCGCCGUUGCCGAGGAAUUGCUAGAUAAUAGAAAUUAUUAUUUACCAUGCUAUAUUAUUAAUAAUCUUACACAAAAAUAUUUUUCUUCACUUUGUGCACAAAUUAAUUUGAAUUUGUAUACACAAUUUAAAUUGUAAACAUUGUCUAUUCUUAAUCACUAACUUUCUUGUGAAAAAACAGAAACAUUUCCUUUAGUUCAUGCAUUGUAGGAAAAAACAGGUUGAAUUUUCUUUCGAUCUAGAACUUGAAAAAACUCUAUGAAAUACAAAGAAAACCCGAAUGAAAGCUAAGAAGAAAUCAGAAUCAAUGGCCAAUAAUCAGCAAACCACUGAAGGAUCAAAGGCUGAAAACCAGCCAAAUACUGGUGGAUUUAUCAGUUUCAUGCCUAGAAACAUGAUAAGGAUUUAGAGACCAUCUGGUACCCAAAGAACUUCAUAAAUGAAAUAUGGAUUGGUACAACUGAUGUAUGCCAAUCCAUUUGCCGACCUCGAGUAUGAAGAUCCAUACAACCAUCUCAGAAAAUUUUACGAGUUGGUUGGUACUGCUGGAGUAUCAAAAACAAAAGAGGAAACUACUUUUCUGAGGAUUUUCCUUUAACUCUGAUAGGGAAAGCUAAGGAAUGGUUUCUAGAUCUGCUUCCACAUAUUUAGAAUGACUGGAACCUGGUGGAGGAGAAAUUUAUGGGCAGGUACUUUCCGCAAGGAAAGUUUAUGGGUCUGAAGAUAACUAUAUCCACCUUUGUUCAACCUACUAGAGAAAGUCUUUGUGAAUCUUGGGAUAGAUUCAAAUCUAUAGAAAGUCUUUGUGAAUCUUGGGAUAGAUUCAAAUCCAUAUCUUCAUCAAUAGAUUGCAACAACAACACAAAUGGAUUCUGAACGCAACGGCUAGCGGACAACUUUUGACUAAACCAUCGCAAGAAGCCAUUGAUAUAAUUGAAUCCAUGACAUUAAAUGACUAGAAAAGUCAGCAACAAAGAGGACCACCAUCAAGGAGAGGUGGAAUUCUCGAAUUGAGCUCAACAUAUGCUAUGAGGGCUCAACAUAAACUGCUUCAACAACAGCUUGAUGAAUUGAACCAAAAGCUUAAUAAUUUACCUAGACAACUACGAGAUUCAUCAAAGAAGCAAAUUUAUAGAUGUGACAAAUGUGCUGACGAUCAUAAAGCAAACCAUUAUCAAAAUGAGGAAGUCCAUUUUGUAGGCAAUUCUCCAAGACAUAACUUUCAAAAUAAUUAUCCUCGAGGGGGUAAUAAUCAAUUUUAGGGGAAUUAGCCUUGGAGACAAGAUAAUUCUAAAAAACCACCAUCACAAUUCUACCCAAGGAAUAAUCAGUACCACCACCCAACACACGACAAAAGUGUUAAACUGGAAGACACACUAAGUCAGUUCAUGUAGAUGACGAUGUCAAACUAGAAGAACACUUAUGCAUCUCCGAGGAACAUGGAAAUUCAAAUCGCGCAACUAGCCAAACAAAUAGGUGAAAAUCAGAAAUCAACAUUUUCAGCUAAUACAGAAGUCAGUCCGAGAGAGCACUAUUUUGUUGUCCUAAGGGGUGAAGGAAGCUCAUUGAACGGUAGAAAAAAGAUGAUAAAUCUUGGUAAAAUAGGUAACACACAUCAAGCUAUUGACGUUAAAAGAACGCUGUCUGGGAGGCAACCUAGUACAUUUUGAAUAUAUAUACUAUGUUUUUCCCUUGAUCUUUUUCUUCGAUAUAUUAUUUUAUUUUUAUGACAAAAUGAAGAACAAUUUUUAUAAUCAAAAUAAAAAUUAACUUUUUCUUUGAAAAUAAUAUUUUUUGAGUUUUAGGAAAUAAAUCACAAAAUGUUCAAAAAAAGUAUGGGAAAAUAUAAAAAUUCAAGAAUGAGUUAUUGGGCUAAGUCAAAAUCUUGCAAAAACUCAAAAAAAGGCUCAAAUCAAGGCCAAGUCAUGACCAUGACUCAACCAAUUCGGUCAAACCUUGACCAAAGACCCAUCGCCCAGCGUGAGUGAUCUGGUGCUCAACGCCUGUCUGACGUAGGCCAUGUGGCCUAGGGGACAAAAAUCCCCUCAAAAGAGGAUUUCCCUUAUCCUCAUAUCUCUUAAAUAAAUCAAACUUUUGACCAAAGAUUCUCAAUCUUUUUAAACCCCUCAAUGUUAUGACUUUGAAAGUACCAAGUCAUUUUAAUUUUUUUUCAAAAUCACAAAGCUUUCAUUUUGCCUAAAAACUCUCAAGUUCUUCACCAUCAUGUAAGUUUCAUAAUACAAGAGUCAUGACUGUUCAUGACUCCCAAUUGGCAACCCAAGGGAUCCAACUAAUCAGUUAUAAAAGGCAGAGAACAGAACCAAAGAGGAUAUGGAUACACCACCAUAAAAAAUCAGGAGGGCACUUAGUGAAAAAACAGAGAAGAGAGAUAGAGAAAAAGAGCAAUACACAUGGAUAAUUCACAUAUCACCUAUUCAUAAGUUCAUAACCAGAGAGAAACCUCCAUACGUUCAAGCAAAAAGCAACCCAAAGAUAGAUUUAUAUUUCACAGGCAUCAGAAAUCAAGAGGGUGGUGACAUAUACAUCAUACAACAACACAUGGCAUAUAUUCAGGUAAGCAUUCAAACCAUAAAAAAUGUGUUUCAUGAACAUGCCUGGCAUUUUCCCUUCAUCUUAUUCUUCUAUAUAUUAUUUUAUUUUUAUGACAAAAUGAAGAACAAUUUUUAUAAUCAAAAUUAACUUUUUCUUUGAAAAUAAUAUUUUUUGAGUUUUAGGAAAUAAAUCACAAAAUUUUCAAAAAGUAUGGGAAAAUAUAAAAUUUCAAGAAUGAGUUAUUGGGCUAAUUCAAAAUCUUGCAAAAACUCAAAAAAAGGCUCAAAUCAAGGCCAAGUCAUGGCCAUGACUCAACCAAUUCGGUAAAACCUUAACCAAAGACCCACCGCCCAGCGUGAGUGACUUGGUGCUCAGCGCCUGCCUAACGUAGGCCAUGUGGUCUAGGGGACAAAAAUCCCCUCAAAAGAGGAUUUCCCUUAUCCUCAUAUCUCUUAAAUAAAUCAAACUUUUGAUCAAAGAUUUCCACUCUUUUUAAACCCCUCAAUGUUCUGACUUUGAAAGUACCAAGUCAUUUUAAAAAAUUUCAAAAUCACAAAGCUUUCAUUUUGCCUAAAAACUCUCAAGUUCUUCACCAUCAUGUAAGUAUCCCAUUUCCCAUUUCUUUUUCAUACCAGUUUCUUCCUUUUUGAAUCUUCUUGUUUGGGAAUAUGGUUUAAUGAACAAAUAAAAAUAAUUUUUGAGAAAACCCAACACAAAAAGUUUCAAAAAAGUUACCAUUUUAUUGAGAUGUGUAUAUGCUUGUUGAUUAUGUUUGAAAUUUAGUAGAUGUGUUUGUUCAUGAUUAAAACAAAAGAAAAUUCCUUGACACAUCUCAUUCUCACCUUCAAAUGAUAGAAAUCUAGAUAAUGAAAAACUUGAAAACAAUUUUAAAAAGAAAUUUUUGGUUGGUCAAAAAGUAUUGUUGUACAACUCUAGGCUUGGACUCAUGAGUGGUAAGCUUGGUUCUAGGUGAGUUGGUCCUUUUGUUGUUACUAAUGUGUUUUCUUAUGGUGCUGUAGAAAUCAAAAGUGAAUCCACAUAUAAGAGCUUCAAGGUUAAUGGGCAUCGCCUCAAGCCUUUCCUCACAAAUCCUUCCUUAGUGGAUGAACUUGUGGAGGAGGACUCAUUGGUUGAACUCACUUUCCUCCCUCCAUGAAUCAGGGAGUUUUUUUGUGGAGGAGGACUCAUUGUUUGCACUUGUCCAAUUCCAUUGAUUGAUAUGUAUGUCUGGAUUUUUUGAUUGUGCUAUAUUAGGACAAUGCGUAGUUUAAGUGUGGGGGAGAGACUAUUGUAGGUUGUAGGUUUUGUUGAUGCAUGCUUUUCUUUGACUUUUAGGUUUUGCUUAGGCUUGGGCAUUUUCUCCCAUACUUUCAUUCACUUAAGUCUUGAUAUCUUGUGGUGUGAAUCCAUGCAUUUCUGUAUGUCAAGUUGCUUUUGAGAAUUAAGAGGUUGAAACAAUUGUGAUAGACUUGUCCCUUGUGAGAAUUUGAGCCUUAAUUGUGGAUGGAUUGUUGUAUGCCAUCUAAUAUCCUUUCAUGUGUGAUUGCACUCUUGAUUACUUGCACUCUAGAAAUUGACUUGUUUCUUGUUGAUACUUGAUAUUCACAUGCACAAAUUGAAGUGAUUUAGGCAUUUCUUUUGAAUAAGUCACUUAGUCAUAUAAGCCUACCUUGAACGAAUUUAUGAUAGCCCCUUUGAGACUUUUACUUCUUUGGAGCUUUGGAAUUGUUUUGGAAAUGGGUAUUAAGUAAGAAAGGGUGCGUUGUUCUUCAAAUCUUGUGGAUUCUUGGUUAUGUCUUAAUUAUGGUUAAUACAAUUGCGUACAUAAGUGUUCAUAAAAAAAAAGCGAAAAUCAAAAUGAAAAACAACAAAAAGAGAAACAAAAGUGAAAAAAAAGGUUGAGUAAGGCAAAGAAGAUUGGAAUUAGAGAUUUGGUCUUAUUUUGGGUUGAUUUUUGCUUACUUUUUACUUAUUCCCCAUUGCUCCUAUAUUCCAUUUGGUUUUACCUACAUAUCCCAUAUUUAUCCUACCUUGUCCUUGGCCCCAUUACAACCUUGAAAAGUCGUUUUGAUCUUUAUGUGCAUGUGCUUAUGAUGUUGAUAUUAGAGGCUUGGCAAGCCUAUGAUUGUGUUUGUUUUCAUGAAGUGCUUUGAGUGUAAACACUUGCAACCUAAGACACAUGAGUGUAAACACUUUAGAGAGUAUAUCUUGUGAGAUUAUAUCAUUGUUGUGACUUGCCUCUGGGAUUGAUUGGUUUCGUGGCAUGUAACGCCCCAAAAAAUAUUUCUCAAAAACAUUGCGGAAAAAUGGAUAAUUUUUUUUUUUAAAUGGUGAUGUAAAAUUGUUUCCUUUUUAAAAACCUUUCUUUUCCGGGACAUCACUUUAAGUAACAUAUAACGCGAAAAUCAAAACCGGUUACCUAACGGUAACUGAAAUGAUACAACAUUUCCUGAAUAUACAUCUUCAUAGAUAUAAAAGAUCAUAAGGUAACGACACAACAGGUAAAGCUAAUCGGUUGACAACAUCAAUCGCAAUAAAGGAAAUGAUUAAAUCUAUUAUCAUUUUCAGAUCACAUUUGGC
rnacentral:lncRNA from 1 species